AUAUGAUAUAACACAUCAAACAUGACUGUGUGAAUAAUUGAGCACUGUGAUUGGUUAACCGUUUUCGUCAAGCGGUGCUCGGCGCGCGCGGGCUUCACAAGCUAAAGCGAAAACCUUACUGAAAAUAUAUAUUUUUUUCCUUUCUCAAAUGGGGUAUUUAUUGUCCACAGUAAAGUUUGUUCAUAUCUAUAGCAUUGUAACUCACACCACACCAUCCAGCCAAGUCAAGACGAUCGAGAAGCUACGUUUGAGAAGUGCAGUAUGAUUGAUGAAUGACUACUGUACUCACUUGCAAUCAGGACACAGACAGAUGGAGCUGGAGGACAAAAAGUGAGCACAGUACGAACAGAUGACAUGGAGACACCUCCUUUUUUCUAGUUGCCACAACAUCAUCAGUAACCCAGGAAACCCAUUGAAACAAGAAGGACCCAGGAAAUGAAGUAAUGGUUCAGGAAUGUUGGGAGACAAGAGUUUCCCCCACAGCUGAAAUCCCCCUCUCCAGAGGAGAAUAGCAAACAGAGUAGCUCUGUCUGAAGCCACAUGAGGUCAACAGUCCUUGGACAACAACAAAACAUUACCCAUAACACAACAGAAUGCAUGAUCUAAUUACAACCUAUAUCUAUGUAAAAAUCUCUACUAACCUAAUAAUAUAUAAAACAGAGACAAACAGAAAGUUGUCUGAAUAUGUUCAUUUGGCAAAUGCAGUCAUAUAGGUUAACAGGACCAAAAAGCUGUUUGGCAAUAAGAACUUCAAUAGGCUGUGAUGGUAACCUGUUGGGCCUUCAGUGAAGUGUUAAAAUCAACAUAAUUGAUUAGAUUGAGAAAAGUGUCCAUUUCAUACCAAAGUGUAGCCCGACCUGAAUGUGAGUUUGCAGUCAAUCGUGAGGAACUAGUCCCUUGUUGAAACCAUUAACCACCGUUAAAUUACUGCAUUAUCUAUUGGCAAGAUUAAAACAAACCAAAACAAUAUUACUUAAAAUAAUUGCUCAAAACCAUUUU